rnacentral:rRNA from 1 species
CACGUAGGGGGCAAGCGUUGUCCGGAUUUAUUGGGCGUAAAGAGCUCGUAGGCGGUUCGGUAAGUCGGGUGUGAAACCUCCAGGCUCAACCUGGAGACGCCACCCGAUACUGCUGUGACUAGAGUCCGGUAGGGGAGCGUGGAAUUCCUGGUGUAGCGGUGAAAUGCGCAGAUAUCAGGAGGAACACCGGUGGCGAAGGCAGCUCGCUGGGACGGUAUUGACGCUAAGGCGCGAAAGCGUGGGGAGCAAACAGG